UACGGAGGGUGCAAGCGUUAUCCGGAUUCACUGGGUUUAAAGGGUGCGUAGGUGGGCAGGUAAGUCAGUGGUGAAAUCUCCGGGCUUAACUCGGAAACUGCCGUUGAUACUAUCUGUCUUGAAUAUCGUGGAGGUUAGCGGAAUAUGUCAUGUAGCGGUGAAAUGCUUAGAUAUGACAUAGAACACCCAUUGCGAAGGCAGCUAACUACACGAUUAUUGACACUGAGGCACGAAAGCGUGGGGAGCAAACAGG
rnacentral:rRNA from 1 species